AAAAUUAGAUAACCAACAAAAUCGAAAAUUUUCAGGAGAGUGAAAUAACAUCUUGUAAAAUCGAAAUCACCGUUUAAAUAUAAGACCAAAAGAAUGCCUUCGAGCUGCAGUGUUUCUGAAUUGAGGCCGAAAAAGUAUGAUUAAAAAAAUUCACUUCCGCGAAAUAAAAUGUGGAUGUUUACAAUCUCAAAGUGACAGGAUCAGAGUUACUAAAUUAAGAGCAAAUGUGUUUGACCAGAAAAAAUCAGGAAAUUCCGAGUAUUCGGUACGGCCACGGAAACGGCCUGAAGCCAGCCGUUACCGCUAUCAGGCUACGGGAAUGCAUGCAGGAAAACUGAUAAAAUCUCGAGUUGGAGAAAAAAACUUUUGCUCGAGUUUAUUGAAAGGUUUAGCCGGAGUUGUGUUUUGAAUUUCUUUUGAACAUGGCAUAUCUCCUAUUGGAUUACAAAUACCUCAUUAAGUAUUGCAAUAACUUUGUACAAAAAAAAUGCUAAGGCAUCUGGAAAAAUUAUUUUGGUCAUUCGGACUAAUUAAUUCAGCCCGAAGCCGGAAAAAUCUAAGGAGACAUGCGACAACGGUCGUGUUAUCAUCGACUGCAUAGAAAUCAUGUCAAAGUGUUUCGUGGCCAAAUCAACGAUGCUUAAAUCACGACAAGUAGUGCAUUGCUUGAUUUAUUAGAACGAGGGGAUCUUGCCU